UACGUAGGGUGCAAGCGUUAAUCGGAAUUACUGGGCGUAAAGCGUGCGCAGGCGGUUAUGUAAGACAGAUGUGAAAUGCCCGGGCUUAACCUGGGAACUGCAUUUGUGACUGCAUGGCUAGAGUUUGGCAGAGGGGGGUAGAAUUCCACGUGUAGCAGUGAAAUGCGUAGAUAUGUGGAGGAACACCGAUGGCGAAGGCAGCCCCCUGGGUCAAGACUGACGCUCAUGCACGAAAGCAUGGGGAGCAAAAGGG
rnacentral:rRNA from 1 species